rnacentral:rRNA from 1 species
GACGAACGCUGGCGGCGUGCUUAACACAUGCAAGUCGAACGGAAAGGCCCUGCUUUUGUGGGGUGCUCGAGUGGCGAACGGGUGAGUAACACGUGAGUAACCUGCCCUUGACUUUGGGAUAACUUCAGGAAACUGGGGCUAAUACCGGAUAGGAGCUCCUGCUGCAUGGUGGGGGUUGGAAAGUUUCGGCGGUUGGGGAUGGACUCGCGGCUUAUCAGCCUGUUGGUGGGGUAGUGGCUUACCAAGGCUUUGACGGGUAGCCGGCCUGAGAGGGUGACCGGCCACAUUGGGACGGAGAUACGGCCCAGACUCCUACGGGAGGCAGCAGUGGGAAAUAUUGCACAAUGGGCGGAAGCCUGAUGCAGCAACGCCGCGUGCGGGAUGACGGCCUUCGGGUUGUAAACCGCUUUCGCCUGUGACGAAGCGUGAGUGACGGUAAUGGGUAAAGAAGCACCGGCUAACUACGUG